AACGAACGCUGGCGGCGUGGAUAAGACAUGCAAGUCGAACGGUAGCAGGCCUUCGGGCGCUGACGAGUGGCGGACGGGUGAGUAACGCGUAGGAAUCUGCCUUAUAGUGGGGGACAACGUGGGGAAACCCACGCUAAUACCGCAUACGCCCUACGGGGGAAAGCGGGGGAUCUUCGGACCUCGCGCUAUGAGAUGAGCCUGCGUUAGAUUAGCUAGUUGGUAGGGUAAAGGCCUACCAAGGCGACGAUCUAUAGCUGGUCUGAGAGGACGAUCAGCCACACUGGGACUGAGACACGGCCCAGACUCCUACGGGUGGCAG
rnacentral:rRNA from 1 species